rnacentral:rRNA from 1 species
AUGGCACCAAUUACCGAGUGUUUGAAGAAAGGAAAGUUCCAAUGGACAGAAGCAGCUGAAGCUAGUUUCAAUGAGAUUAAACAAAAGCUAUCACAAGCUCCUGUCUUGGUACUACCUGAUUUCAACAAGACUUUUGAGUUGAAGUGUGAUGCAAGUGGAGUAGGCAUUGGAGCUGUCCUAUCUCAAAAAAGGAAGCCCAUUGCUUUUUUUAGUGAGAAGUUAAGUGAAGCUAGACAGAAAUGGAGUACCUAUCAGCAAGAAUUAUACGCCAUUUUCAGAGCGUUGAAAACUUGGAAAGUCUAUUUGCUGCCUGAAGAGUUCAUUGUUUAUAGCGACCAUCAAUCCUUGAAGCAUUUUAGAAAUCAAAAGCAUGUUGACCGCAUGCUAACAAGAUGGGCAGCAUAUCUGGAGAGGUUUAACUAUCUCAUCGUGCAUAAAUCUGGAAUAACUAACAGAGUGGCCGAUGCUUUGAGUCGUCGUGCAUGCCUCUUGACUUCUUUUGAAGCUGAACUUUCGGACAUGGAUCAAAUAAAGAAGUUGUAUGAGGGUGACGAAGACUUUGGCCAUGUUUGGGUAAAGCACGCAAGGGGCCAACCAUUAGGUGAUGACUAUUUGAUGCAAGAUGGAUAUCUCUUCAAAAAUGAUCGUUUGUGCAUUCCAAGAAGUUCUCUACGUGACAAGCUGGUUAGAGAGCUCCAUUCAAGUGAUCUUAGUGGUCAUGUUGGACGGGACAAGACUAUCGCUAACCUGGAAGCUCGCUACUUUUGGCCACAACUAAAGAGAGAUGCUGGAAAGUUCGUUCAACGGUGCCCCGUAUGUCAGACCUGCAAAGGCCAAGUCCAGAAUACAGGGUUAUACAUGCCUUUGCAUGUUCCUGUUGCUCCACGGGAGGACAUUUCUAUGGACUUCGUCUUGGGCUUGCCAAGAACAAGAUGA